rnacentral:rRNA from 1 species
AGCAGCCGCGGUAAUUCCAGCUCCAAUAGCGUAUAUUAAAGUUGUUGCAGUUAAAAAGCUCGUAGUUGAAUUUCGGGGUCAGUAGGUUGGUCGUGCCACUGGUAUGCACUGGCCUCACUGAUUCCUCCUUCCUGAUGAACCGUAAUGCCAUUAAUUUGGUGUUGCGGGGAAUCUGGACUGUUACUUUGAAAAAAUUAGAGUGUUUAAAGCAGGCUAACGCUUGAAUACAUUAGCAUGGAAUAAUGAAAUAGGACGAUCGAUCCUAUUUUGUUGGUUUCUAGGAUUGACGUAAUGAUUAAUAGGGAUAGUUGGGGGCAUUAGUAUUCAAUUGUCAGAGGUGAAAUUCUUGGAUUUAUUGAAGACUAACUACUGCGAAAGCAUUUGCCAAGGAUGUUUUCAUUAAUCAAGAACGAAAGUUAGGGGAUCGAAGACGAUCAGAUACCGUCGUAGUCUUAACCAUAAACUAUGCCGACUAGGGAUCGGAUGAUGUUAAUUUUUUAAUGACUCAUUC